rnacentral:tRNA from 1 species
GAGAGAGGCUUGCUAGCAACAAAGACUGCUAAUCUUCGUCCCCCUGGUUGAACUCCAGAGCUCACUCG